GGGGGUAGAGCUCAGUGGCAGAGUGCAUACCUAGCAUGAAAGAGGUCCUAGGUUCAAUCCCCAGUACCUCCA
rnacentral:tRNA from 1 species